CGGAGAACUGAAACAUCUUAGUACCCGGAGGAAGAGAAAGAAAAUUCGAUUCCCUUAGUAGCGGCGAGCGAAACGGGAAGAGCCCAAACCAACAAGCUUGCUUGUUGGGGUUGUAGGACACUCUAUACGGAGUUACAAAGGACGACAUUAGACGAAUCAUCUGGAAAGAUGAAUCAAAGAAGGUAAUAAUCCUGUAGUCGAAAAUGUUGUCUCUCUUGAGUGGAUCCUGAGUACGACGGAGCACGUGAAAUUCCGUCGGAAUCUGGGAGGACCAUCUCCUAAGGCUAAAUACUCUCUAGUGACCGAUAGUGAACCAGUACCGUGAGGGAAAGGUGAAAAGCACCCCGGAAGGGGAGUGAAAUAGAACCUGAAACCGUGUGCUUACAAGUAGUCAGAGCCCGUUAAUGGGUGAUGGCGUGCCUUUUGUAGAAUGAACCGGCGAGUUACGAUUUGAUGCAAGGUUAAGCAGUAAAUGUGGAGCCGUAGCGAAAGCGAGUCUGAAUAGGGCGUUUAGUAUUUGGUCGUAGACCCGAAACCAGGUGAUCUACCCUUGGUCAGGUUGAAGUUCAGGUAACACUGAAUGGAGGACCGAACCGACUUACGUUGAAAAGUGAGCGGAUGAACUGAGGGUAGCGGAGAAAUUCCAAUCGAACCUGGAGAUAGCUGGUUCUCUCCGAAAUAGCUUUAGGGCUAGCCUCAAGUGAUGAUUAUUGGAGGUAGAGCACUGUUUGGACGAGGGGCCCCUCUCGGGUUACCGAAUUCAGACAAACUCCGAAUGCCAAUUAAUUUAACUUGGGAGUC
rnacentral:rRNA from 1 species